rnacentral:rRNA from 1 species
UACAGAGGCCCCAAGCGUUACUGAGAAUCACUGGGGUUAAAGGGUGCGUAGGUGGUCCGUUAAGUUCGUUGUGAAAUCCCUGGGCUCAACCCAGGAAAUGCUUCGAAUACUGGCGGACUUGAGGCUAGUAGGGGUCACUGGAACUGACGGUGGAGCGGUGAAAUGCGUAGAUAUCGGAAGGAACGCCGGUGGCGAAAGCGGCGUGCUGGACCCCUUCUGACGCUGAGGCGCGAAAGCCAGGGGAGCAAACGGG